CCCAGGAACCGUCUUGAAUUUGAUCUUAUCUGUCAAUCCACUACGUUUCAAUCCCAAAUUUGUUAAAAUCAGUUAUAGGAAUCUUCUAAAUCCAUUCUGCUCUAUUUGAGUUUAUUUUAUUUCCAUACUAGUUGUCUUUUAAGUCAAUUAGGGGUUUUCCCAAAUCAGGUUUUUUUAUAUAACACUUGUCCGAACGGCUAACACUGGUGUACGAAGCUCUAGCCAGACUACAAAGAUUUUCGGCAGAUCGCUGGACCUAAGGUGUUUUGUGAUGAUUCAGGCUUUGGAACUUUGAGUAAAUUUGCUUUUGUAUGGAGACACUUGUCGAUUUUGUGCAAUGGCUUGAAAUUGACGUAUCUCUGAACAUUCUGAUGCGUUUGAAUGAUCCAGCUGAUGUGGUCCGUGCUGGCUCUGUUUCACACCUUUGGCUCCAAUUUGUGGUUGCUAAUGGACUUUCCAAGCAACUGUGUCUGAGAAAGUUUCCGCAGCUUUCUAGAAUUUCACGUAUAAGAGAACCAGAUUUGGGAAUUGCAGAAGGAAAAGAUGUAAAAUUUAGCAAUUCCACUUGGGAGACUCUAAAAAGAGACCAUAAUGUUUAUGCUUCUCUACUUCAAGCUAUUGAAACAUCAAACUCAUGCCCAAGUGAUUGCAUAGAUUAUGAAGUCAGCGCUUCAAGUACGGACGAUUAUCCAGUAAGUGUUUGGAAUACUCUGGUUCCAACAGAUAGAAACCAAGAUCAACCUUCAUACUGGUCAAGCACAGGGGACAGUGAUCCCAAUGCCCCGGAGACGCUAAUUUACAAAUUGAAAGCUGAUCUUUGCGUCAUCACUGAAAUUAAUAUACAACCUUUGGAAGUGUAUUCCCAUCCAGGCAGGGCCAUAUGCUGCCCAAAAUCUGUUCGAUUUCGAUUAGGACACCCCAAAUCCUCAAGAGAUAAGAGGCGUCUCCUGCACUGGCACCCUGAUCAACCUGCUGAUGACAAGUUUAUAUGGACUUAUACCUCGGAAGAAUUCCUUAUGAGACAGGUGCGGUUAUUAACUUUACUUUUUCCCAAACGCAGACGAUCUUAUUUACUAGAAAUUGUCUUUCUUUUUGUUGGUGGAGUAAUCUCCACUGGUGGAGGCACGAAUAAGCUUGUUCUCAAGGCGCAAAGUCUUGUCCUAAGUAGGUGGAAUAGUUCUCCGCUGAUGGGGAGCACUAGUAGGCAUUACUCUGGCCAAGGUUUCUGAAUCUUGUCAUAAGUAAAAGGAAACCCGGUUGCAGCAGUUCAAGCUACCAGAACCGGUGCUUUGUAUUGGUGGAUAUCUUCAAAUUGAACUGUUGGGCAGAGCUCUGAGAUGUGAUAUUGACGACUUGUUUAUCGACGGCUUGUUUUACAUAUGCAUUCGUCAUGUGAAAGUUAGAGGGCGGCCAUUCACUCCUGCCUUAGACGCACAUAUCAUUCGACCGUCUGGAGACUUUGUGCUCGAGUACAACAGAGAUAAUGUUUUCUAAAAAAUAAUCUAUGUCUUCAGGACUCAAGUGUACCUCCAACAACAUUAGAAGAAGUACAUGCUGCUCUAUUGAAGUAUUUAUUAGAGGAUUGAUUACCUGCCGGUUUUGAACAAUGACGAUUAUUAAAUCGAUUAAACUGAAAUUUUGAAACUUUACGUUAUGAUUUUCUUUCGUUUAAGUUUUCUA